GCCGAAGUGGCGGAACUGGCAGACGCGCCGGACUCAAAAUCCGGUGGUGCUCAAACACCGUGUGGGUUCAAGUCCCUCCUUCGGCA
rnacentral:tRNA from 2 species